UGGGGAAUAUUGCACAAUGGGCGCAAGCCUGAUGCAGCCAUGCCGCGUGUGUGAAGAAGGCCUUCGGGUUGUAAAGCACUUUCAGCGGGGAGGAAGGCGUUAAGGUUAAUAACCUUGGCGAUUGACGUUACCCGCAGAAGAAGCACCGGCUAACUCCGUGCCAGCAGCCGCGGUAAUACGGAGGGUGCAAGCGUUAAUCGGAAUUACUGGGCGUAAAGCGCACGCAGGCGGUCUGUCAAGUCGGAUGUGAAAUCCCCGGGCUCAACCUGGGAACUGGAGUAGAAGCUGGCAGGCUGGAGGCUUGUAGAGGGGGGUAGAAGUCCAGGUGUAGCGGUGGAAUGCGUAGAGAUCUGGAGGAAUACCGGUGGCGAAGGCGGCCCCCUGGACAAAGACUGACGCUCAUGUGCGAAAGCGUGGGGGGCAAACAGG
rnacentral:rRNA from 1 species